ensembl:snoRNA
AUCCUUUUAUAGUUCAUAAGUAUGAUGACUGGGUGUUUACGCCAUUGUAGGACAUGUGCCUCCCUCAAACCUUGUUAUGACCUUAGCACAUUACCCAUCUGACA